UGUCGUGCCACGAGUAGCUAUAUAGUAUAUAAUAGCUCUUUAUAGCAGCUCUUUUUUUUCCUCCUUCCGUCUGGCAGAUGAACUUGCGCUCUUGAGAAACUGGACUCAAAAGCUUCAGGAUUUAAUGAACCGCCAGAAGGAGGUUAUUGUCCAUUUGCAGCAGGAGAAAUUGUUGAUACCUGACUGUGGUCACCAAAUCUAUCUCCAUGUUGGCCUAACCUCCAUGUUGCUUGCCGCUAUUGUCACCCUUCAUGUUUAAGAAGCACAGGUGGACGUAACGUGGCACAAUGUGAAAACAACCAAUGUUUUGCUUUUUCAUAUCAGCGGCUUCCUUGGUGCUGUCUGAUGCCAUAUCUAGCAUAUCAUCUGGGAGAUAAGGGUGUUGACAUUAUCUAGAAUAAUGGUUCUCAACCUUGGCCGCUUGGAAGUGUGGACUUCAACUCCCAGAAUUCCUUAAGCAGCCAUGUUGGCUGAGGAAUUCUGGGAGUUGAAGUCCACACCUUUUCAAGUGGCCAAGAUUGAGAACCAUUGAAGAAUACAGUGGUGUCUGGAGCAUGUGGUUUAAAAAAUAAACAUGGUGACCACAGUCAAAAAUCCAUAAAAUCUGUGUAUUUGCAACACCACCUGGCCACCAUUUUGGUUUUCUUUUAACCACACCUUGCAGACAUCCCUGCUAUAUAACCAAACUUUGGAGCAAGACCUUAAUAAGAAAUUUUAAGGACUAUCCAGAAAUGCACCUUUCUUAUCCCAACAAUGUGAUUCCUCCCCUAUACCCCCCCUCCCAAAAAAGUUCAGCCAUGCUUAAAUUAUUAGUUCACUUCUCCUGGAAUUCAAGGAAGGCAAUAAGUAUUUUCAUAAUUCUUUAUUCAUGUUAAAGUGUCUACCCAGAAUUAGGAAAGAAAGGGAUGAAUCAUUUGUGAUUUCUGUCAGCGAUUUGAAUUCCGUUAUAUUCACUUUCUGCCUUACUUUUGAAUUUUUUUAAAAUAUUAAAAGUUUGUAUGCAGCUUUAUGUGCAUGUCACCUAACAUGCAUAAUUUUGCCUGAUCUGCAUAGCUUGCACCUUGAUUUAAUUUAAUUUUAUGUUGUUUUAACUCUAAGUGCGCUUUGAUAUUUACUUUGCCUUUUACAUUAUUUUGUAUCAAAAAGCGGGUAAGAAAUUUAAAUAAAACAAACAAAGGUGUUCA